rnacentral:rRNA from 1 species
AGAGAGGGGGGCUACCAUGCAGUCGAGCGCACUCUUCGGAGUGAGCGGCGGACGGGUUAGUAACGCGUGGGAACGUGCCCUUCUCUAAGGAAUAGCCACUGGAAACGGUGAGUAAUACCUUAUACGCCCUUCGGGGGAAAGAUUUAUCGGAGAAGGAUCGGCCCGCGUUAGAUUAGAUAGUUGGUGGGGUAAUGGCCUACCAAGUCUACGAUCUAUAGCUGGUUUUAGAGGAUGAUCAGCAACACUGGGACUGAGACACGGCCCAGACUCCUACGGGAGGCAGCAGUGGGGAAUCUUGGACAAUGGGCGCAAGCCUGAUCCAGCCAUGCCGCGUGAGUGAUGAAGGCCUUAGGGUCGUAAAGCUCUUUCGCCAGAGAUGAUAAUGACAGUAUCUGGUAAAGAAACCCCGGCUAACUCCGUGCCAGCAGCCGCGGUAAUACGGAGGGGGUUAGCGUUGUUCGGAAUUACUGGGCGUAAAGCGCACGUAGGCGGAUCAGAAAGUAUAGGGUGAAAUCCCAGGGCUCAACCCUGGAACUGCCUUGUAAACUCCUGGUCUUGAGUUCGAGAGAGGUGAGUGGAAUUCCGAGUGUAGAGGUGAAAUUCGUAGAUAUUCGGAGGAACACCAGUGGCGAAGGCGGCUCACUGGCUCGAUACUGACGCUGAGGUGCGAAAGUGUGGGGAGCAAACAGGAUUAGAUACCCUGGU